rnacentral:tRNA from 1 species
ACCUGACUGGCUCAGUAGGUAGAGCAUGAGACUCUUGAUCUGAGGGUCAUGAGUUCAGACCCCAUGUUGGAUG